GCCGGGUGCGGUGGCAUGUGCCUGUAAUCCAAGUCACUGGGAGGCUGAGGUUGGUGGAUCAAGUGAGCUGAGGAGCUCUGGGCUGCAGCACGCUAUGUCGAACGGGUGUCCACGCUAAGUUCGGUAUCGAUAUGGUGUUCCUGGGGGAGCCCGGGACCACCAGGUUGUCUAAGGAGGGGUGAACCGGCCCAGGUCGGAAACGAAGCAGGUCAAAUCCCCCGUGCUGUCCAGUAGUGGGAUAAUACCUGUGAGUAGAUGCUGCAGUGCAGCCUUGGCAAAACAUUGAGACCUAGUCUUUU
rnacentral:SRP_RNA from 1 species